GAAACGACUGCUAAGACUGGAUAGGAAACAAAAAGGCAUCUUUUUGUUUUUAAAAGACCUUCUUAUGAAGGUAUGCUUAAAGAGGGGCUUGCGCCACAUUAGUUAGUUGGUAGGGUAAAAGCCUACCAAGACGAUGAUGWGUAGCUGRACUGAGAGGUUGAACAGCCACAUUGGGACUGAGRCACGGCCCAAACUCCUACGGGAGGCAGCAGUAGSGAAUUUUCGGCAAUGGAGGAAACUCUGACCGAGCAACGCCGCGUGAACGAUGAAGUAUUUCGGUAUGUAAAGUUCUUUUAUUGAAGAAGAAAAAGUAGUGGAAAAACUAUAUUGACGUUAUUCAAUGAAUAAGCCCCGGCUAACUAUGUGCCAGCAGCCGCGGUAAGACAUAGGGGGCGAGCGUUAUCCGGAAUUAUUGGGCGUAAAGGGWGCGUAGGCUGUUAGAUAAGUCUAUAAUUUAAUUUCAGWGCUUAACGCUGUCUUGUUAUAGAAACUGUCUUGACUAGAGUGAGAUAGAGGCARGCGGAAUUCCAUGUGUAGCGGUAAAAUGYGUAAAUAUAURGAGGAACACCAGARGCGUAGGCGGCUUGCUGGGUCUUUACUGACGCUGAGGCACGAAAGCGUGGGUAGCAAACAGGAUUAGAUACCCUGGUAGUCCACGCCGUAAACGAUGAGUACUAAGUGUCGGGGUAAAACUCGGUACUGAAGUUAACACAUUAAGUACUCCGCCUGAGUAGUACGUACGCAAGUAUGAAACUUAAAGGAAUUGACGGGACUCCGCACAAGCGGUGGAUCAUGUUGUUUAAUUCGAAGAUACACGAAAAAUCUUACCAGGUCUUGACAUACUCUGCAAAGCUAUAGAAAUAUAGUGGAGGUUAUCAGGGAUACAGGUGGUGCAUGGUUGUCGUCAGUUCGUGUCGUGAGAUGUUAGGUUAAGUCCUAAAACGAGCGCAACCCUUGUCGUUAAUUGCCAGCACGUAAUGGUGGGGACUUUAGCGAGACUGCCAAUUAAACAUUGGAGGAAGGUGAGGAUUACGUCAAAUCAUCAUGCCCCUUAUGAUCUGGGCUACAAACGUGAUACAAUGGCUGUGACAAAGAGUAGCUGAAACGCGAGYUUUUAGCCAAUCUCAAAAAAGCAGUCUCAGUUCGGAUUGAAGUCUGUAACUCGACUUCAUGAAGUUGGAAUCGCUAGUAAUCGCGAAUCAGCAUGUCGCGGUGAAUACGUUCKCGGGGUUUGUACACACCGCCCGUCAAAUCAC
rnacentral:rRNA from 1 species